rnacentral:lncRNA from 1 species
AAGUUGUACAGUUGUAAGUUCAUAAAUAAUAAUGAAGCUUCUGUUGGCAACAUAAGUUAUGUUUAAACCGUAGCAUUUAAACUCAGCUUUUUACUGAACAAGUGCUUAAAAAGAGGAAAGACAAAGUGGAGAGAGUACAACCUCAGAUAAAACUGCUGUUAUCAGCUGUUUGGGGAAUGGUAGUUUCCUACAAUUGAAAUGAAAGCAAACAGGUGGUUCAAGUCAUGUGCUAUCUAUAAUACCACUUCUAAACAAAUCAGUGUGGGGAAGCUUCUGAAUCCCCUCUGAAUCUUGCAAUAGCUGGAAAAACAGAGACCAAAGCAUGCUUGUAAUUAAAACAAGCUCCAGAGAAAAGUCAACAGACAUUCCUAUUUGCCUUUGCAUUUGAUCCUAAAGACUUUAACCUGGCAUAGAUAUGUUAAUUCAUACUUUUUAGGGUACAAACGUCACACAAAUGUCAGAGUGGUUUGAUGAAAAUGUAAUGGUGCUUCUGACUCUCUGAACAGAAGACAAGGCCAGGCAUGACCUGAUGUUCUGUAAGCUGGUGUUGCUGGGAGAAGAGAAUGUGUGUCACAAAUACCACCUAGUCUCUGAGGUCUUCCACAACCUACAAGGGCAAUCCAUUGACAGGCUUGUUCCCUAAUGUUGAAAUACUGGUGGGAAAACGCUGGUAGUGCAAGAUUGAGGCUGGCAAUGCUUUAACUCUUUAACUGUGCCUCAUUCAACUCUUGUUAAGUUUGAAAUGGAGUUUCCACCUGUUCCAGAUGAUACUGAAAACCUCCAAAAUGAGUUUUGCUAGUUCAAAAGCUUAAUGCUAUCUCCUCUGCCCAAGAGCACACUGAGAGAAGUGUAGCAGCCCUGAGACUGUUGGUACAUCUAAAAAAUCUGACAUUUGGCCCUGCAGCUUCAGUGAAGUAUCACAUAGAUUCACUGCAGCCACAGCAAUGCCUAUUGUGCACAAUGUUUGAAGAGGACUUCCCCAGGCAAGCUGAUGCUGAUGAAGACUGUCUGCACACUAACGUUUUGGAGUGAAGUAUGGAGAAUUAUGGAGAGUCAUGAGAGAGUUCUCCAAGGCCUUCUGUCCUUCAAGGGCUUUGACAUAAAAGGCUCCAACUUAUUAGAGGGGCUGCAGAAGAUCUAGGUGAGCAGGACUUCAGUAUAUCCCGAGGUUAAAAUACUGUCUGAAAUAGCCUCCUGAAAAAGUCCUCCUCCUCCCCUUCUUUUUACUCUGUAGAGGAGAGAGCUGCACCACAUGAUUUUCACAGGUACAAUUUAUUUACAUGCAAAAUUCACGUCCUGCUUAUCCGUACAGCCAGCUGACAGAUGCUUGUUAGCAGGUGAAAAGACGGCUACUUGUUAAAGUGCAGCUGCCUCGAUAUUUUUUUGCCAGCUGCAUAUCAGGCACCACCUGGCAGGAAUUUAUUCAUUAGAUAUUACUUUAAAAAACAGCAACGUNUAGUCAUAAUUUCUCUAUAUUUAAAGGGAUCAGGUGUGAUACCACUAAAGUCACUGGUAGGAAUAAAUUCGUAGGAAAAGCUGAAUUAGUUUCCAUAAGGAAUAAGAG